rnacentral:rRNA from 1 species
AUUGAACGCUGGCGGCAUGCCUUACACAUGCAAGUCGAACGGCAGCACGGGAGCAAUCCUGGUGCGAGUGGCGAACGGGUGAGUAAAGUAUCGGAACGUGCCCAGUCGUGGGGGAUAACGUAGCGAAAGUUACGCUAAUACCGCAUACGAUCCAUGGAUGAAAGCGGGGGAUCGCAAGACCUCGAGCGAUUGGAGCGGCCGAUAUCAGAUUAGGUAGUUGGUGGGGUAAAGGCUCACCAAGCCGACGAUCUGUAGCUGGUCUGAGAGGACGACCAGCCACACGGGGACUGAGACACGGCCCAGACUCCUACGGGAGGCAGCAGUGGGGAAUUUUGGACAAUGGGCGAAAGCCUGAUCCAGCCAUGCCGCGUGCAGGAUGAAGGCCUUCGGGUUGUAAACUGCUUUUGUACGGAACGAAAAGGUUUGGCCUAAUAAGCUGAGCUCAUGACGGUACCGUAAGAAUAAGCACCGGCUAACUACGUGCCAGCCGCCGCCGUAA